rnacentral:rRNA from 1 species
UGCCAGCAGCCGCGGUAAUUCCAGCUCCAAUAGCGUAUAUUAAAGUUGUUGCGGUUAAAAAGCUCGUAGUUGGAUCUCGGCGGGCAGGGGGUGGUUCGCUCUUCAGCGCUACUGCCCCGCUUUGCCCGUGUGAUUGGCGGAGGUUUCGGGGUGCUCUUCGUUGAGUGACUCGGAGCGCCGUCAGGUUUACUUUGAAAAAAUUAGAGUGCUCAAAGCAGGCUUUUCACGCUUGAAUAUUCGUGCAUGGAAUAAUGGAAUAGGAACUCGUUUCUAUUUUGUUGGUUUUCGGAAAUCGAGUUAAUGAUUAACAGGGACAAUUGGGGGCAUUAGUAUUCAGACGACAGAGGUGAAAUUCUUGGACCGUCUGAAGACUGACUACUGCGAAAGCAUUUGCCAAGAGUGUUUUCAUUAAUCAAGAACGAAAGUUAGAGGUUCGAAGGCGAUCAGAUACCGCCCUAGUUCUAACCAUAAACGAUGCCAGCUAGCGAUCUGCCGAGUUUUUUUUGUAGGCUCCGCAGGAAGCUUUCGGGAAACCAAAGCUUUUGGGUUCCGGGGGAAGUAUGGUUGCAAAGCUGAAACUUAAAGGAAUUGACGGAAGGGCACCACCAGGAGUGGAGCCUGCGGCUUAAUUUGACUCAACACGGGAAAUCUCACCAGGCCCGGACACUGGAAGGAUUGACAGAUUGAGAGCUCUUUCUCGAUUCGGUGGGUGGUGGUGCAUGGCCGUUCUUAGUUGGUGGAGUGAUUUGUCUGGUUAAUUCCGAUAACGAACGAGACUCUGUCCUGCUAAAUAGUUGGGUCGUCCUUCGUGCGAUCCAAGUUCUUCUUAGAGGGACUGGCUGCGUCUAGCAGCACGAGAUUGAGCAAUAACAGGUCUGUGAUGCC